CGCAGAGUUUGAUCGUGGCUCAGGACGAACGCUGGCGGCGUGCUUAACACAUGCAAGUCGAGCGGUAAGGCCCUUUCGGGGUACGACGAGCGGCGAACGGGUGAGUAACACGUGGGUGACCUGCCCUCAGCUCUGGGAUAAGCCUGGGAAACCGGGUCUAAUACCGGAUAUGACUCCAUGACGCAUGUUGUGGGGUGGAAAGCCUUGUGCGGCUGAGGAUGGGCCCGCGGCCUAUCAGCUUGUUGGUGGGGUGAUGGCCUACCAAGGCGACGACGGGUAGCCGGCCUGAGAGGGCGACCGGCCACACUGGGACUGAGACACGGCCCAGACUCCUACGGGAGGCAGCAGUGGGGAA
rnacentral:rRNA from 1 species